CACUUUUAAAUGUUGUACUUAACUUUAUUUGAUUUAUGCUUAUAUAAAGAAGAUGUGGUAUGAUUGUCAAUGAGACAACUCUCCACUGUCACGGAUAGACGAGAGCUGACUUAGGAGUUUGUACUUACAGAUAAUAAAUGACUACUUCUUUAAACAAAAUAACAAUUUAAUAUUGUACAAAUUUACAAAUAUAAAUAAAUGAAAUCAAAUGAAAUAAUAAUGUCAAAUGUUUAAUGAACUGUUCCUUCUUUAUAUUUAGCUUUGAAAUCUGGAUAACGAUACUACGGAAUUUUACGUAUUUGGUUUUUGGUAACUACACAAAACUGGCCCAACAUAAGCGGUGUACACAUUACGGCUGCCCUAUUGUCUAGACUCGACUCCAAAUAUUGUAGGUUGCCAAACUAUUGAUGAAAAACAUGGAACGUCGCACCGUCAACAGGUUUCACCACCAUUUGUAAUAUAUCUCCAUACUUUACUAAUCAAAACUACAUACAUCUAGCCCGAAACUGGGACCUAUGAAAUCCAGUGUGUGUGUCCACGCCACAUUGUAAACUAACUUUAUACAAAACAUAUCUGGCCACACCUUGACUCGUUAAGGUGUUACCUGAGAGUGAAUAGUCAGCUCAUCAAAUACAGGUAUCACAUGUUACUCAACCCGUUCGACAAGUUUACAGGUAAAUACCCAAGUAAAUAGUGGACACUACCUAAUUAAUUAGAUGUAAAAUGUGGACAUGUAUUAUACACUGAAGUCUGCAGAAUAUAGCAUUUAUAAGAUACUGAC
rnacentral:lncRNA from 1 species